rnacentral:misc_RNA from 1 species
GAUGAAGAACGUAGCGAAAUGCGAUAAGUAAUGUGAAUUGCAGAAUUCAGUGAAUCAUCGAAUCUUUGAACGCACAUUGCGCCCGUCAGUAUUCUGGCGGGCAUGCCUGUUCGAGCGUCAUUACGCCCCUCAAGUCCCCUGUGGACUUGGUGUUGGGGAUCGGCGAGGCUGGUUUUCCAGCACAGCCGUCCCUUAAAUUAAUUGGCGGUCUCGCCGUGGCCCUCCUCUGCGCAGUAGUAAAACACUCGCAACAGGAGCCCGGCGCGGUCCACUGCCGUAAAACCCCCCAACUUUUUAUAGUUGACCUCGAAUCAGGUAGGACUACCCGCUGAACUUAAGCAUAUCAAUAAGCGGAGGU